AUUGAACGCUGGCGGAAUGCUUUACACAUGCAAGUCGAACGGUAGAGGGGGGCAACCCCUUGAGAGUGGCGAACGGGUGAGUAAUAUAUCGGAACGUGCCCAGUCGUGGGGAUAACGUAGCGAAAGUUACGCUAAUACCGCAUACGAUCUAAGGAUGAAAGCGGGGGGAUCGCAAGACCUCGCGCGAUUGGAGCGGCCGAUAUCAGAUUAGGUAGUUGGUGGGGUAAAGGCUCACCAAGCCAACGAUCUGUAGCUGGUCUGAGAGGACGACCAGCCACACUGGAACUGAGACACGGUCCAGACUCCUACGGGAGGCAGCAGUGGGGAAUUUUGGACAAUGGACGCAAGUCUGAUCCAGCCAUUCCGCGUGCAGGAUGAAGGCCCUCGGGUUGUAAACUGCUUUUGUACGGAACGAAAAGGUUUCUCUUAAUACGAGGAGCUCAUGACGGUACCGUAAGAAUAAGCACCGGCUAACUACGUGCCAGCAGCCGC
rnacentral:rRNA from 1 species